UACAGAGGUGGCAAGCGUUGUUCGGAAUUACUGGGCGUAAAGGGCGCGUAGGCGGCCUUCUAAGUCAGACGUGAAAUCCCCCGGCUUAACCUGGGAACUGCGUCUGAUACUGGAGGGCUUGAGUAUGGAAGAGGGAUGUAGAAUUCCAGGUGUAGCGGUGAAAUGCGUAGAUAUCUGGAGGAAUACCGGUGGCGAAGGCGGCAUCCUGGACCAUUACUGACGCUGAGGCGCGAAAGCUAGGGGAGCAAACGGG
rnacentral:rRNA from 1 species